rnacentral:rRNA from 1 species
GACGUAGGGCGCGAGCGUUGUCCGGAUUUAUUGGGCGUAAAGAGCUCGUAGGCGGCUUGUCGCGUCGACUGUGAAAUCCCGCGGCUCAACUGCGGGUCUGCAGUCGAUACGGGCAGGCUAGAGUUCGGUAGGGGAGACUGGAAUUCCUGGUGUAGCGGUGGAAUGCGCAGAUAAUCAGGAGGAACACCGGUGGCGAAGGCGGGUCUCUGGGCCGAUACUGACACUGGAGAAGCGAAAGCGUGGGGAGCGAACAGG